rnacentral:lncRNA from 1 species
CGCAGGAACUUGACCAUUUCGUCACUCCUGGCGGAACCGUUAGAUGCACUAGGUGAGCGAUCGCUGGGCCCGCAGGAGCCCGUUCGGCUCUACAGGUUCCUACCUGGGGAUAUCGGAAAGGCCUGAGAUAUGACAGCUGGGGCCUGGGGCCUGUGCGGCAGGAAGAGGGAAAGCUGUAGAAUUUUCUUUUCCAUUCCCUGUGCGUGGUGCUGAUGGGGAAAGGGGUGACCUCGUACCUGACCAGAUUGGGCACCAAGAAACACCUGCCCCAGUUCUUCCUUUCUCCAUGUGAGGGCCCCAGAAGAGGAGGGACGGAUGGAUGAUGAACUCCUACAAGCAAUGUCCAAGAUCUGGAAUCAGUGUGUGAGACCAAGAUAUUAUCUCAAAAGAAAUUUCAGUCAAGUAAUAUUUACCCUCAGAGACAUACCUACUUUUAUUCAGUCCACAAUUUGUAUUCCACAUCAAAAAACAUGGCUCAACUGGUAGAGCAUCUGCCUACCAUAUAGGAGGGUCCAGGGUUCAAGACCCAGGGCCUCCUGACCCAUGUGGUGAGCUGGUCCAUGAGCAGAGCUGCCAUGUGCAGGGAGUGCUGUGCCACGCAGGGGUGCCCCCACGUGGGGGUGCCCCAUGCACAAGGAGUAUACCCUGCAAGAGAGCCACCCUGCAUGAAAAAAGUGCAGCCUGCCCAUUAGUGGCGCUGCACACACGGAAAGCUGACACAGCAAGAUGACACGACAAAAAAGAGAUGCAGUUUCCUGGUGCCACCAAGGGUGCAAACAGACACAGAACACACAGCAAAAGGACACAGAGAGCAGACAAUGGGGACAAGGGGAGAGAAAUUAAUUUAAAUAAAUAAUAAGUAAAAUUAUUAAUGAAGAGAAACCCUGUGAAUGU